rnacentral:lncRNA from 1 species
UUUCAUUUCACGAGUGUCGCUGCCAUCGCCGCGCAUAUUCUCUGUCAUCGCGGUGCAGUCAAAUCCUUCCCCCGGCCUCCAUCGCGUCUUUGAAUAAGGUGGUGAUGGCGUGACGAGUGGGAGAGGAACCUAAGCGAUGCCAAGGUCUACAAGGAGGAGAUGAAUUUCCUUGUCAUGUUGGGCUUCGUCGACAGUUUCUAAAAUCGAGUCCGGUACCCAACGUACUGUGUGCCCCCAUACUUACAUAGAUCCCCUCUUACUACUGCAGUUCUCCUGGAUUAAAACUGCACCGGACAUUGGAUUCUCACUGGAGUGUGAUUAAUGCGGUUUCGCUGCAGCAGACAUUGACCUAGCGACCAUCUCCGUGUUGAAGGAGGUGAGGGGAGUGGUUCAGACGGGAAUGUUUUGAAGGCUAUUGAGAAGAGCAACAAUCAUAACCCCACGGUCCGGUUUUGUUUCUGUUUCUCUUAAUUUCAGUUUGUAUUUCGCUAUCAAAAAAGUCAAUGGAGGGGGAGCGAUGAUCUUACAAUUUUGGGUAACUUUGUUGUAUGCCUGUAUGUGCUAAGGACUUUCUUGGUUCUCCACUACAUUUGCAGAUUGCUGGUGAGUGAUAUGUAUUAAUUUUUCAUCAAAAAUACCCCAUAGCAUAGUGGAACAAAAUGUUAAUCCAUCAUCGAUUAUUGAUGUGGCUUGUCUUUGGACCAUGCUUUUUUGUUAUAAGUUGUUCUUCUUCUACAUGGAACUUAGGUAUAUGCCCAUAAGAAAUUAGAUCUUUGUGUAACUAAGAAGAAAACUGUAUUUGCUCCUUUUAGCCAGUGGUGUAAUGAUAUUGUUUGUAUACUGCUGACUGAAGUUUUGUAUUAUAUUACGACUAUAUAUAUAUAGCUGGUGUAGGGUUUUAUAGUGCAUUUUUUUCACAAUAGAGUUUGGUCACAACCAUUUGUAAAAAUUGAAUUUUCUCUAUAGAGCCUUCAUUAAAUUUUAACUUCUUUUCUUGACUCAUGUAUUAUGACAUUCAGAUUCAGGGUACACAUUCCCAAUAAUACUUUCAUCUGCAACUACAAAAGCUGAUAAAGUUGAUUCUCGUGGGGUAAAUACAUCAAGCUCUAGAGUUUGGUAAAUAAGAACUUGCACCAAGAGGCGAAGAAAAUGUAUUUUCCAGUUAAAAUAUCUCCCUUGCUUUAAGAACCAGGCUUCAAACAUAUAUUAGUCAGAAUACAGUUCUUGCUAUUAGCUUGAUUUUUUCCUGGUAAUACCAUUAUGCUUAAGACCAUGCUCUAAUGUUUCUUCUAUUUUGUAUUUUUUUGGCAAUUUUCAGCAAGCCUUUCUGGACGAACUAGAGAAAAUGAUAGCUACUGUUGGGUGUUUCUCGACACUUGAAGACUGCAAGUGAAGUUAAAGCUGCUAUCUUUAAAGCCAAACCCAUGAGAAAGGCAUGUACUUAGUUGCAGAGCCUUGUAUAUGUUGUGAUGCCCUUCCUAUUUUCUUAUCUAUAUUAUGAUUUAAUGUCACUGCAGUGUACCAUUUGCAAUGACAACAAAUUACUUACUUGCUUGUCUAUCAAAUAAUUUAAUGUCAAUGAGGCAUGUAUAAGAGGACAAUAAGCUUGUUUCUUUCCUUCUGUUUUUCUAUCCACAAAAAGGUGGAAAAGCUCCUACAUUUCACAUAAUGAUGGUCAAUGAUAGCUGUUCAGUAUGGUUCCAAC